GUGUCAGCAGCCGCGGUAAUACAGAGGUGUCAAGCGUUGCUCGGUGUCACUGGGCUUAAAGGGCGCGUAGGCUGUGCGGUACGGUUCGGGUGAAAUCCCUCGGCUCAACCGAGGAACUGCCCGGGCUACGGCCGUGCUGGACUGCAUCAGGGGCGGAUGGAACUCCCGGUGGAGCGGUGAAAUGCGUAGAUAUCGGGAGGAACGCCGGUGGCGAAAGCGAUCCGCUGGGGUGCAUGUGACGCUGAGGCGCGAAAGCCAGGGGAGCAAACGGGAUUAGAAACCCCUGUAGUCC
rnacentral:rRNA from 1 species